AAGAAUCCAGCACUGCGAUGCUGCCGGAUGGUUGGCGUCAAUAAUACCAAAGUGACGUAAUCCUUUUCGAGGUUCGUUAUUGGAGGAUGUGUCAUCCAAUGGGGAGGGGUCGAUACGGCAGCUGGGAGGCGCGCGCGGUCUCAAAGUGUGCUCCAAGCACGCGUUGCGGCAUCGCGGUUCGGCGCGCUAGUAGUGCACUGCUGGAAACACCACGACGAGGUAGGUUUGAGAGAGAAUACGAAGAAAAGUGGGAGAACACGCGAAAGCAACACGAGAGAGACGAAGAUCGAAUUAGAUUGUGAGCGCGCAGAGGAAGCAGGGAGGGUGGGACACAUCGUGGGUCCUCGGCGCUAGCGUCAGUUAUUCGGUUUACCGCUUCCUUGGCGGGUGUAGUGUGCUUAUGUAUUUUUCGACGAUUGUUACGGCGAAUAAUUGACAUACGCGAAAAAUUAUAAACGUACUUGGAGAAAUAUUUUGUAACAUACUUUCUGUUACACGACACAGAAUAAAUUUCUGGACAAGAUCUAGUGCCAUAGCGCGUAAUCCCCAUCUCUUUGAUGCCAUUUGGACGCUCGCAUUAUUUGGAUUAAGAUAAUGCAAUACAUUGUAUGAGAGAUGAUAUAUGCAUGAGGUAUGAUACAGUCAGAAAUCUAGUUCAUUAGCUUUAAUUUGACAGAAAGAUCGUUGCCUUGAGAUGACACAUUGGUUUAAUGAGAGGAAGACAGACAAUGUAACAUUGUAAAGGAAGUUCGUGAAAAUCAAGUGUUAGAAACUUUGCUAGAUGAGUUCAAGGAAUAUGAUUCCAAUCUCUUGGAACGAAACUGAAGUGGAGGAUUCAUUGAAUUGGAUCUGAAGGACUCGAGGAUUGCCUUCAAAUCGGUCUGAAUAAACCUCGUGGAAUUAAGUAGGAAGCUUCGUUCAUAAUCGAUUAUUCAUACGGAUUUGCAUGAGAAAAGAAUAAAAGCUAAUGAACGAUAAAUUCAAUGAAAUGAAUUCAACACAUAAUAAAAAGAUAUCAUCGACUUUAAAUAAAUAA